AUGUAUAAAGAGAUAGUUCUUUUGUUACUUCUUUCAGGUAAUGUCUCCACACAGGAACUAUCUUCGAAUAAAGCAUACAUUUUUCUACCUCUAACUUCACAAAAACUUGCCAGGCAUCAAAGAAAUGAGGGACUACCUGUUACAGAAGACCCAGGGUAUAUCUCCACAACUGCAAUUUCACAAAAACCCACAAGGCGACAAAGGGUAGAAGAACUGCCUGUUACCGAAGACCCAGGUUAUGUUUCAACCCAAGAAGUGAGUACCCCUCACAGUAAUGCAAGUAAACCCUACGAACAACCAGUAACGAAGGAAAUAACAACCGUGGCAACGGCUAGCAUAGCCAAAGACGAGCAUUUGACCACCCAAACCCACUCUGAGAUCUCAACGCAGGCACCAGGAAAAGACGGAUCAAGAGAUCGGGUAACCCACGCUCUCUCCGGACCAGAAAAAUUAGUUCAGCCUGACAAACAAGGACACGGGCAUUCCAUAAAGAAAAAGAAGAUUGAGCAUAGUCCCCUUUGUUUACCUCGUGCUCUUCUGAAAGGACAAUAA
rnacentral:lncRNA from 1 species